rnacentral:lncRNA from 1 species
CAGAGGUUGCCGCUUUAAGUGGGCAGCAGGCGGGUCUCCGUGUCAAGGUAUAACUAGUGUCGGGAAGCACAGGGGACCAUAGUACAGAGAAUCACCUGAACCUCAACAUGGCUCCAAACCAGAGGAAAGUGUUCGUGGUGGGAGUGGGGAUGACCAAGGUCAGUCCUGUGGGCAAGCAUGACAGAGGGGUGGGGGUUUAUAAUAAUAAUAAUAAUAAUACUGUGCUUUGUUAUUAUACAGCCUGACCCAUACUGUGCCUUAUUAUUAUUAUACAGCCUGACCCUAUACUGUGCCUUAUUAUACAGCCUGACCCUAUACUGUGCCUUAUUAUUAUACAGCCUGACCCUAUACUGUGCCUUAUUAUUAUUAUUAUUAUUAUACAGCCUGACCCUAUACUGUGCCUUAUUAUUAUUAUACAGCCUGACCCUAUACUGUGCCUUAUUAUUAUACAGCCUGACCCCAUACUGUGCCUUAUUAUACAGCCUGACCCUAUACUGUGCCUUAUUAUUAUACAGCCUGACCCUAUACUGUGCCUUAUUAUACAGCCUGACCCUAUACUGUGCCUUAUUAUACAGCCUGACCCUAUACUGUGCCUUAUUAUACAGCCUGACCCUAUACUGUGCCUUAUUAUUAUACAGCCUGACCCUAUACUGUGCCUUAUUAUUAUACAGCCUGACCCUAUACUGUGCCUUAUUAUUAUACAGUGUGCCUUAUUAUUAUACCCAUACUGUGCCUUAUUAUUAUACAGUCUGACCCAUACUGUGCCUUAUUAUUAUACAGUCUGACCCAUACUGUGCCUUAUUAUUAUACAGCCUGACCCUAUACUGUGCCUUAUUAUUAUACAGUCUGACCCUAUACUGUGCCUUAUUAUUAUUAUACAGCCUGACCCUAUACUGUGCCUUAUUAUUAUACAGCCUGACCUUAUACCGUGCCUUAUUAUUAUACAGUCUGACCUUAUACCGUGCCUUAUUAUUAUACAGUCUGACCCAUACUGUGCCUUAUUAUUAUACAGUCUGACCCAUACUGUGCCUUAUUAUUAUACAGUCUGACCUUAUACUUUGCAUUAUUAUUAUACAGUCUGACCUUAUACUGUGCCUUAUUAUUAUACAGUCUGACCUUAUACUGUGCCUUAUUAUUAUACAGCCUGAUCCAUACUGUGCCUUAUUAUUAUACAGCCUGACCCUAUACUGUGCCUUAUUAUUAUACAGUCUGACCCAUACUGUGCCUUAUUAUUAUACAGCCUGACCCUAUACUGUGCCUUAUUAUUAUACAGUCUGACCCAUACUGUGCCUUAUUAUUAUUAUUAUACAGCCUGACCCUAUACUGUGCCUUAUUAUACAGCCUGACCUAUACUGUGCCUUAUUAUUAUACAGCCUGACCCUAUACUGUAGUUGGGCUGUUGCUGACCAUAUGCUGCAUUUUUGGCAAAUCAUUGGGGUGGGGGUUGUAGUUGGAUAAAUAUUUCCGGUGACCUGGAAUGGGUGGAUGUAUAGUUUGGGCUAUAACAUUGUGCAGUUGAUGUUUAUUUACAGUGACAAGAUCAACACACAGUCUUAGUCAAUCUGUUAGCUGACAUAUAAACAAAUGCAUCUUUAGAGGUAAUAAUCAAUGUCAUGGUUUUCUGAUAGUGCUUGGACUCUGCCCAGAAUGGUAGGAAUGAACUUACCUUUUAUGCAAAAAAAAAAAAAUGAGCAUUGAGCACUUGAGCAUUACGAUCUCUGUUUAAGGAUUUGUAAUGUAUCCACUUGAUCCAGGUAGAUUGUCGAAGGCGAAUAUAUAAUAAUUUUAUUUAAUACGUUUUGGACUAUCUACUUGGAUCCAGCAAUUUACUACAAACUCUUAAAUGGGGAGUGUACCACUCAAGCAGUUCAAAUCAGAGCAAAGUAUCCGCUCCAACUGCAUCUCUUUAUUUAUUUCCCCAUAUCUUAUGAUUAAAUAACCUGCACUGAGGUCAGGUGUGAAUCUCAGUCACAAGCUGUGCCUUGAAGCUUGGAAAUAAUUCCACAAGGAAAUAUUUGUCUGUGGUUGACUAAACAACGAACAGAACAUACUAUUGGCUAAAUCUAAUUAUUCCAAAUUUACAGUUCUACCUUACAUGGCAGAGUUGUAGAUGUACUCUCUCUCUUGCCUCACAUGUUACUUGACACGCUAUUCCUUGUGAUUUCAGACUACAGUGCUUGAGAAUUCCCUGUAUAGCACGAGAGCUCAGUGGUUAUUGCUCCAACUCUAAUAUCUCAUAAUCUCCUGUUUAAUUCAAAUAAAGAUGAAUUGCGCCUUUUAUGCUUUGCAGAAGUGUCAAUAAUCUGAGUCCAAAAUGUGCCUUAAAAAAAAAUAAAAUAUUGAAAAACAGUCCUGCAAUCCUUUCGCCCCUUUUGUGUUUCUUUAAUUUUAGUUGCUAAACACAAGGAACUUAUUGUCUGGUAGGAGCCAUUGCAAAUAGUCACAUCGGAUCCUUGUUCCAAAAAUGUGUAAAAAAAAAAAAAAAAAAAAAUUUGGGGUCAGCACUAUAAGACUAUUUCCUUCUAUGCCACAAUGAGAUGUCUUCUGUCCUGCAUCGCUUUGAUCUGCUCUGAGUAACCAUAAAUCUUCUCUCUCAUAGUUCUUGAAGCCUCAAGAUAAUUUGGAUUAUACAGACUUUGCCAAAGAAGCAGGUAUGAAGUGUUUAUAUUGUCAUUUUGUGUAACAUGCAAACCGCCAAAUUAAAUCAUUAGCUUCAUUACAUUACUUCCAAGUGGUAUUGUCACCUGCAUUUGUUUCCAUAAAAAAGCAUUUUAAACCAUGGAAAGAGAUCAUCUCUGUAAACAAUUGUCAUUUGACAUUAUAAUGUGCAAUGGGCUCAAAGUGCUAGGACUGAUUAUGGUGUAAUCUGUCCAGGAUGGAUGGAAAUGACAUUAAAGGAACACAAACCUUUAUUUCUCACCCUGUAUCGUUAAAGAGAUAGUAGUAGGAGCUGCACUCACCCAGUGCUCUGGAGCAGGACCAGCAAUCCCACAACGAUAUGGCAACAAAGAGAUUAUUCAGGCACUCAAGGUGUUGAAGCCACAGGCAGUUUUAAUGAAACAAAAAGAACCGCAACAUUUCGACCUCCUAAGAGGUCUUUUUCAAGCUUUGUCGCAAUGUUGCUGUUCUUUUUGUUUCAUUAAAACUGCCUGGGGCUUCAACACCUUGAGUGCCUGGAGAAUUUUUGUUGCCUAUAUUGUUAAAAACACCAUAUCGCCCGCCCCCGUCCCUUACCUUUAUUGCAGUUUGCUGUUGCUGGCUCUGCCCCUGAUCUGCCUGCUUGGCUGACAUCAUUAGAAGUUGUGUUCGAAACCAAUCACAAUGCUUUUGAUGUAGAAUUAUUAAAAUCUUUACUGAACUUGUAUUGAAUAAUUGUACUAACUCCAUUUUUAAUCUCACACUAUGACAGAAUUCUCCAUUUUGUUCACCUUACAUGACAGAAUUUCCUGACAGUAUUCAGUAUAAUGAAUAAGAGAUUGUAUUUUCUCUCUCUAAGGACAUGACUAGCCCCGGAGUUAGCGGAUCUCCGUUGACUUGCAACAUAGUAUAAUCCAAGGCCAGGAGAACAGCGACUAAUGAAAUGUUCUAUUCAUAAAAGAACCUUGGACCAGACCACGAGACUGACAUCACUAACUACGUAAAAUGAUGCCCAAGCCCCCCCUUUCCACCGAGUAAGCCUCGUGCUAAAGAGCAAUGGCGACGACAUCCCAUGAUGGGAGGGUGCCUCACUAGUCACUCAAAUCUCUGAGCCAAUUAAUAAUAUUAAUGGGUGGACACUGACAUAGCCACUUAACAUUUAACCCAAUUAAUGAUGUUUAUUUGUUAUUAUCUGAUAUUCAAUGAUGAUGUCAUUUUGCAUAUAAAAAGGCCUGCGUGCCCACUUUUUAACUAGAUGCUAAUAAAUUUCCUGAAGUGUUUUUAACCUGAACUGCAUGUGUCAGUGUAAACUUACUUCUGCGUAUACGCAAUUUAUUCAUCUCAGAUUUGGACAGGAACAGAUAGACUUUUAAACAUUUUUGUUUAUUUCUAAAUUAAUCUACUACAAUUGGCGCUUCCAACAUGGGGCUCUGGGCUAUGUCCUGUCUGGGCAGCUGUCCAAGAAGAUGCUGGGUGGGUGAAUCCUGGGGGAAGGAAAAGAGCCUGAUCACCUCUGAGUACACGGUAGAGAUUGCUGCAGCACCUAGCCGGUAUGUUCCUGCCCCUGUGAUUGACCUGUUCCAGUGUCUGUGACUGCUGCCGAGAGGACAUCAAAGUCAGGUAAUAACUUGCCCAGAGUCUUUGUAUUGUUAAUGAUACUUAAUUUACCUGCAUUUAGUCUAUCUGUUGCCUGGGUGUGCUAGUGGUAUAUGUUUUGUUCUUUCCCUCUUUUGGGAUAAAGGGGGGUGGACCCGUGGGUGGUUGCCUGGGGGUCUUCUGUUGCCUGUUUUUACCCCUUUUUAGGAGUCACUUGGCCCAGACUGUUGGGGAAAAAAGGGGGGGUGGACCUGUGGGGAUUUUCCAAAGGGGUCCUGUUUUCCUGUUUACUUCUUUUAGGUACUGUCUAGCUAACAGUAGUAAGGAAAAAGAAGGGUUGGGGGAUCUGUGGAGGGGACUUGCCUCCUGGGGUUUCCCGGUUACGUCACUUUGAUAUUCUAGCUAGCCUCAUUGUGUACGUUGCUCUGCUUGCAGAGGUUAUGGUACCCUCCAGCUUCGAGCGCUGAGGCUGGUGGCAUUCCAAUUUAUUUGUGGUGUGUGGAUUCGGGCAGGCAUUGUUGUCUCCAUCACCACGGGGUAGUGUGACUUGUGGGUGGGUCCAUAGGGAGCACUACGGGAGUGAGGAUAGAGGUGGCCACACUUAGUGGACUGCUGUAACGAGGGAGGCAUAUGGAUUUCGGGCCGGUGUUAGUCGUUAUCCUUGGCCGCUGGUAGUGAAACUUACGAAAGUUGUUCUCCGAGCGGGGACACUACGAGAUUGAGGGAGGUGGCCCACAAGAGUAAAGGAAAGGGAUUACUGUUGAUGCAUGCACUGUAUUUCAAUUGAAAUGUUGUAUUAAAUGUUGUCUUAAGUGUGGAGUCAUUCAAACUCCUGGGUCUGUCUCUACUUUCACUGUUUACUUUUACUUUACUUCCUGUACUAUUUACACUAUCCACUCCUAUUUCUCUUGAAAGAGAAGUGAUUGGUCACACACUUCUCACCCCGCUCCAAUCCGUGGUUACCAUCGAGGGUACACGGAUUCAGUGACUGGUCUACGUUUUGGGAAGACGCACUGGGAGGGACCCACCCUUCCUAGUGGCAGUCGAGCAUUGUAGACGUUCUGUUUCAUUUUCCUUUACCUAUACUUGGGACGCUUUGUAUAGGGGGAUAUGGGACAGGAAACGAGUAAGCCCGCUAGGGGCUGGCUCGCGUGUGAUUUAGUUGAAGAUAGAGAAGGUGAAGAACUGGUUAAAAAUGUUGCAAAGAUUGCUAAAGUGUGUAAAAUUGCUGUGCCUUCAUGUGGUAGAUUACAACCAGAAAGUUGGCGUAGAUUACUGACAGAGAAGAAAGGCAAGCUUACAGAUAAUGAUUUAUUGCGUACUGCUGAAGCAUGGUACAGAGUAGAAAGGCUAUCCAGCAGGAGGGUUGGGUAGAGGAAGAGAUAAAUCAUAAAGGGUUAAGAACUGUAUGUAUAUCAUAAUAAUUGUGUUACUGGGAAGUUAUCCCAGCCAGUGCCCUGUCGGGGGUUCCAGGAGGUGACCACUUCCAUCAUCCUGUCAGUAAUGACCGAAAUGUAGCUGACCAUGGUCACCAUCCCACCCCAAUCUUAAAACGCUGUGGGGUUUUUGUAUUUUGUGUUAGCCAUUACCCUGGUAGAGGGUGGGGGUUUAAAUGAAAUGUGUUUUUGUGUCUCUUUGCUUUGUAAUGUAAUUGUCCUUCUGUCUUGUUACUGUACAGCGUUGACAUGGUUAAAUUCGUGCUGGCAGGCAGUCUCUCUCUUGUUCCACUCAAAUCCCCCUCUGCUAAAACACCCCCCCCCUCCCCUCGCUUCUGUGAGACGCGGGGGGGAGGGGGCGGAGGGGGGUGGUGACAUGCUUGCGAUUUAGGUCUGUCUCUUCGGUGUUCUGUAGAGUUAUUCAGAAGCUACUGAUAAGAUUUUAGCAAUGGAAUUUUUGCUAGAAAAAAUAUUCUAAUUGUGUAUUUUGUUAUCUCAAUAGAAAUUGAUAGGAUGGUUAGGGAGUGAAUCUGAUGCAGGAAUAGAAGUUAUUAAGUUAGUAUAUGUUUCUAGAGACAGCUUUGUGGGCUGUUAGAUGUAUAAUAUUCACAACUGUCUUAUUUAAUCCGUCAAGUCUGUCCACAGUUCAGAUUUUCAUUUUGCAGAACAGAAUGUUGCUUCUCUGACUUAUUUUAAUAGUUUUAAUAUAGUGUAUUGUUGAAAGUGCAUCAGCCACCACCUUAAAGAUGGCGCCUAGUACAGAAGGAGGUUGACCCUGCCAGUCCCGUGACCUAUCUACAGUCACGGUUGCUUCUAAAGUAACGUCACUUCCGCCCUUACCAUGCCCACACCUCCUGUCUUCCUUUCCCACACCUAUCAUGGACGUCAUCUCACUUCCUCCCUUGCUGUCAUUUCCUUCCCCGCCCCUGUCAUGGCUGCCUCCAUCAUGAGGCCUACCCCUAUUAUGCUCGUCCUAUUUAGAGACAUGUUGUUUUCCUUACACUCUACAUAUUAUGAACAGAAACAUUAUAAUUACUAAAACAAUCAUGCCAUUUGUUUCCCUGUAUCAACAAUGUGUCCGUGAUAUAAAAAAAAAGAAGGUUGCUAAAAUGUAAUUUGCAAAUGUGGUGUGACCUACAAAUGAGAUCUGUUGGACACGAAUAUAAGAGCAUAACAGCUGAUUAUCCAGCUUCAUCUUACAACAAGGGAAAUAGCUAAAUAAUGCAAGUUAUUUUAAACAUUGUAUCUUUACUUAAUCGAAUCUUGCUAGUUACAGAUCGUAUGUUUACAGUAACAUCCUUUACGUUAAAUGAUGGUUUAGCAUUAGAAGGGUUUGUGACAUGUUUUAUUAACCCAGCCACUACUGGUUGUUCAUUUUAGUUACAGGGUGGUAUAAUUGUUAUAGUCUAAUUAAUAUAAAUGAUAGUACCGCAAUAGUUAAUGUUUUAUCCAAAGACAUAUAGGAACUUUACUUCACUUACCAUUAUUUAUAAUGAUAGACAUGUUCAGACUGCAAAAAGCUAUGGCUAAUGACAUAGAAAGGGGUUUGAGUCAGUAACACAGCCCAUACAGAGGAGAGCAAACCCGCUGAUGCUUAAUGCCCCUGCCAUGGCAGUGUCUACAGGGAACAAGGGGGGCCACUUGCCACUGUGACUUUACCCAUUGAAGGACGAGAAACCACAUUUUUAGUUGACACAGGUGCAGCCCGAAGUGUUCUGAGAGAACAAGACCUGCCAGAUGCCUCAUUCCUAUCAGAAAUAGAUGUCUCUUGUGUUGGAGUGGAUGGCCAACCAAGGCACAGUCCUUUAACAACCCCAUUGCGAGUUGGCAAUUACCCAAACUUGCUUGCUCGAUUUGUAGUAUCCUCCACAUGCCCAAUUAACCUGUUAGGUGCUGAUGUCCUCUCACGCCCGCAGGCAUCUAUCACCUUCACCCCAGAAGGUCAAGUAGAAUUGUCUACUCCCCUAUCUGAAUCAGAUACCUCAGUUUUGUGCUCCCUACCUCUAGUGCUGCAUUUAGAUGAACCCCGUGGGGAAGCAAAAGAGCAGAGGUCCAAUUUUUCGGAUAUCAUCAAAACAAAGGUACCUGCAAAAUUAUGGUCCAAAGGCCCAGAAGACAUAGGUCAUCUGAGAGUUCCACCUGUGGUGGUAAAGCUCAUUCCAGGAGCAAAAUUACCAAGAAAACCACAAUAUCCUCUAAAGCCAGCUCAGGCUGCAGCUAUUUCAAUUCAAAUCAAAGCACUUUUGGAGAAAGGUGCUCUUGUGAAGUGUGAAUCAAAAUGCAACACCCCAUUAUUUCCUGUGAAGAAGAAAACACCAAAAGGGGAACCAGAGAAGUACAGAAUGGUCCAGGACCUCAGAGCUGUCAAUGAAGCAACUGUCCUGGACACCCCUAUUGUACCAAACCCCCACACUCUGCUAUCUGGAGUUCCACCAUCUGCAAAAUACUUCACAGUCAUUGACCUGGCUAAUGCCUUCUUCAGUGUUCCACUGGAUCCGACUUGCCAAUACCUGUUUGCUUUCACUCAUGAAAUGCAACAGUAUACAUGGACUGUCAUGCCCCAAGGGGCACAAAAUUCUCCAAGUCAAUUUGCUAAAGCCAUGUGCUCCAUCCUGGACCCAUGGCAAACAGACCACCCAGAAGUUGUCCUACUUCAGUAUGUGGAUGAUCUCCUACUUUGUGGGGAUGACAUACCUACAACAGAAGACUGUUCUAUUAGUCUCCUUUGCUACCUAGCAGAACAAGGAUGCAAAGCUUCACGUCUCAAGCUGCAAUUCUGUCAGCCAACAGUAAUCUUUCUUGGACAUUGCCUAUCUCAAGGCACCAGACAUCUCACUCAGGACCGAGUCAGAGCCGUACUGGAGAUUCCACCUCCAAGAACCACAAAAUCUCUCCAUGUUUUUUUAGGCCUCAUUUCCUAUUGCAGAGCAUGGAUCCCAGAAGCCUCUCUGCUUAUGCAGCCACUCUAUGAUGCACUCAAGUCAGACCCAUUCUGCCUGACAAAUGAAGCACUGGACAAUUUUAAAAUUCUGAAACGUACCAUUGCAUCUGCUCCUGCUCUGGGCCUACCAGACUACACCAAACCCUUCAAAUUAUUUGUCUCUGAAAGACAAGGCCACGCCACAGGAGUGCUUACCCAAACAAAUGAGUUAAGAGGCCGCCAAAGGCCUAUUGGGUUUUUCUCCUGUCAGCUGGAUAUCGUGGCCAGAGGGGCCCCUUCAUGCCUUAGGGCUGUUUUUGCUGCAAGAGAACUUAUUGAGAAAACUGCAGACCUGGUCCUUGGUCAUCCUCUGGUCGUAUUGGCACCUCAUGACAUUUCUGCCAUUAUCAACCAAGUCCAGCUCAAACAUGUGUCUCCUGCCAGACACCUGCGUUUACAGUGUCACCUCCUGCUACCUGACAACAUCACCAUACAAAGGUGUCAAGUUCUUAAUCCGUCCACUCUUCUUCCACUCCCUGAGGGGGGUAUCCACUAUGGGUUUAUCAUGGACGAAACCUAUAUUUUUCUCCUCACUGGAACCAUCAAGAGGAUGCAUCCUGAUUUAACCUUUUAUAAAGAACAAAAACCUCUCUGUGAGGGUCCAGGAUAUGCCUUCUGUACCACAUGGUACAAGCCGAACAUCUCUCCUGAACCUUGCUAUGAAGAUGAACUCUAUCACUGGGUGGAGGUGAAACUCACUGCUCACGACUUCUAUUGUUAUUCUGAAGGCAAUAGCAUGGUCUUGAUCGAACUACCUUCAGAACUCAAGUAUUUAUACCGUCAUUGGGAUACUGCUAUUCCCCAUGUCCCUGUUACCAAGUUGAAAACAAAAUCAUGGAAUGAUCUCGGGCCCAUGGCGAAAUUAUGGGCCACCAUGGAUGACUCGAAGUUACAGGAAAAUGGCAUUGCCAAAUACCCCACAACUGACCUACUUGAAGCAUGGCCACGCCAUUUCCUGGAAAAUGACUUUAAAAGCCUGGUCAUAGUAAACAACUAUGACCCAGAGACUCCUCACGACUGUUUUGAACAGAUGAAAAUGGAGACCAUACAUCUACCAACGGUGCAUGAGAAUCCAUUGACAAAUCCUGAUUUCACUUUGUUUGUGGAUGGUUCAAGAUAUGCUGAUGAAGAAGGAAAAUACCACACAGGAUAUGCCGUAACCACAACAGAUGAAGUUAUCAAGUCAUCAUCUUUACCACCAGCAAUGUCUGCGCAAGAAGCUGAAUUACAAGCCCUGUCUUCAGCAUGCAAAAUCUCCGAAGGAAAACGUGCCAACAUCUACACAGAUUCAAGAUAUGCCCUAGGUGUGGCACACGACUUCGGCCUCAUAUGGAAGACAAGAGGAUUUCUUACUACUGCCGGCACACCAGUCAAACACAGCUCUGCAAUCAAAGAGCUAAUGGAUGCCCUCCUACUCCCUGAAGAAGUGGCCGUAUUGAAAGUCAAGGCACAUGGAAAGUUGGAUACAGAUGAAGCAAGGGGCAACCAUCUGGCUGAUCAGGCUGCUAAGCAAGCAGCAAGAAAUUUGCAGGAAGUGGACGAAGAAGUGUCCGGUCAAGAAGAAGUUCCUGUUUUUACUUUACAGACCCUUCCUACUGAUCUAAGGAUUUUGCGGGAACAGCAAGCCGCAAUUACCCCUGAAGAGAUCCAGAAAUGGAAGAAGAAAGGGGCUGUCUUAAAGGACGGAAUAUACUAUAACAAUUUCAAAUUCUGCCUUCCAAAAAACUUAUACCCAGCAGUUGUCCAAUGGGCACAUGGACCAGCACAUCUGUCAAAAGAUUUAAUGGCCGCCCUCAUCCAGAAGUAUUAUGAAGCCCCUGGAAUAACAACAUUGACGUCUAACACAUAGGAAAGCAUGGGAUUGGCUGAGCUUGUCAAGGAGGCAGAUCAGGGGCAGAGCCAGCACAGGCCAAACACAGCCCUGGCCAAUCAACAUCUCCUCAUGGAUAUACAUUGAAUCAAUGCAUCUCUAUGAGUAAAGUUCAGUGUCUCCAUACAGAGGUUGGAGACACUGAAUGUCAGUGCUUCACACUGUGCAGUACUGCCCUAGUAAGAACCUCUAGUAGCUAUCUGAGGAGUGGCCAGUGGAGAUAUCCAUUGGCUGUAAUGUAAACACUGCUGUCUUUACUUAACAAAGCCUGAAGUGAGUGAUUACACUUACCAGAACAAAUACAAUAAGCUGUUGUUGUUUUGGUAACUAUAGUGUCCCUUUAAUAAUAUAAAACCUACACUUCAAUAUCAGUGCAGUUGAACCUACACUUCAAUAUCAGUGCAAUUGAAAUUGGGGAAGUCUCUGGGUAUCACAUAACCACUAUAAGCUGUAAUGAGGUGAUUUUGAGUGCCCCAUUUAUGGUCUUUGUUGAUGCCAUAUACAAAGAUGUAUCAUAAAAGAUUACUAUAAGCACCAAAACAGUAUCUUAAUGAAACAGUUUAGAGCAGUGAUGGCGAACCUUUUUGAGCCCGAGUGCCCAAACCGCAAUACAUGCCAACUUUUUUUUCCUCAAAGUGCCAACAUGGCAAUUAAACCUGAAUACUGAGGUUUAAUUUUAGAAAAAAAACAACUCAUACAGUUGUCCGAACUAAUUAACAACUUUUGUUUUAAAAGAAGAACACAACAGAGAGUUCAAUGAUACAAAUUUUAAAUUAUGAUAUAAAUAGAUAAAAUUAAGCUUAUAUUUAUUAGUAUCUCCAACAAAUGCAAUACAUACACACAGACUGCUGAACACAUACACACACCGUCCGCUAAAUACAUACACACACCGUCCGCUAAACACACACACACACCGUCCGCUAAACACACACACAGUCCGCUAAAUACGAUACAGACAGAUUACUGAAAACACAUACAGACAGACUGCUGAAUACAUACACACAGUCUGCUGAAUACAUACACUGCUGAGUACACACACUCACAGACUGAGUACACUCACAGACUGCUGAGUACAUACACACACACACAGACUGCUGAAUACACACACACUGAUGAAUACACAGAGACUGCUGAACACAUUCACACAGCGGCUGCUAAAUACAUUCACACACCGGCUGCUAAAUAAAUACACACACUGUCCGCUGAAUACACAUACAGACAGAUUGCUGAAUACACAUACAGACACACUGCUGAAUACAUACACUGCUGAGUACACACAGACUGCUGAAUACAUACACUGCUGAAUACACACACACACACACACAGACUGCUGAAUGCAUACACACACACACACACACAGACUGCUGAAUGCAUACACACACACACACACACACACACACACACACACAGACUGCUGAAUGCAUACACACACACACACAGACUGCUGAAUGCAUACACACACACACACAGACUGCUGAAUGCAUACACAGACACACAGACUGCUGAAUACAUACACUGCUUAGUGAAUACACACACACUGCUGAGUACACACACACACACACAGAGACUGCUGAGUAUACACACACACAGAGACUGCUGAGUAUACACCUACAUACUGCAUUGAGGGGUGCAGUGUUUGUGUGUGGGGUUAGGGGUGCUGUGUGGGGUUAGGGGUGCUGUGUGGGGUUAGGGGUGCUGUGUGGGGGUAGGGGUGCUGUGGGGGUAGGGGUGCUGUGGGGGUAGGGGUGCUGUGGGGGUAGGGGUGCUGUGCUUAAUUCUGUAUUCCCCCCUCCCUUCCUCCGGUGGUGGUAAGUAUUGUAGGAAGCAGCUCUCCUAUCCUCCCGCGCUAUGCUGUGUGGAGCGUUGCCAUGGUAACACGCGUCAACGCUCCACACAGCUUGCUCGCAGGAGGAUAGGAGAGCUACUUCCUGGAGCCCUCCCCCUGCCUCCCGACCCGGAAGCAGAGUAGACGCCCUUCUAAAGCAAGAUAACAUCUGAAUUAUUUUUUUUUAUUUUUUUAUACUCCUCAUGUAGGCUGUGUCAGUCAAAGCCAGGGGAGGUGUGGCUAGGGCUGCAUGCAGGGCCAGAUUAAGAGCCCAGUGGGUCUGGUGCUGACAAUUAUUAUGGGGCCUAAUUACAGAAUCUUAUCGACCAAAACCACUAAAACAGUCAUACCUCUCAAGCGUCAUGUAUCUGAUUGAGUUGGUGUUGGAGGGAAACUCAAAGGAUGCAGCUAUAAGAAAACACAUACUCUACGCUAAUCUCUUUAUCUAAUUUAUGCUUUCAUUUUUCAAGUAAAUCCAUACCCCCUAACACCAGUGUCCAGUGAAGCAGGAAGUCAAUUGGCAGGGUAAAAGGGUGGACCACUCACAUGAAUCAUGUGACCAGAACUGCCAAAAGGGCAAACAUGUCCAAAAAGGGGGCAUGUCUGUCAAAAGAAUUGGCCAGCCUGGCAUCAGUGUCCUUAUGUAUCAGUGUCAGUGUCCCUCAUGUCGCCCAGUCCCCUAGUCUCCCAGUGUCUGUGUCUCCAUUUCUCCCAGUGUCCACAUGUCUCAGUGUGUCACUAGGAUACUACGGGACACUGGGAGACAUGGGGACACAGACACUGGGAGACUAGGGGACACUGGCUGGUAGGCAUGGGGACACACACUUGGGGACACAUGGUAGACCUGGGGCACUUGUGGACAUAGACAUGGGGACACUAGGGACACAGACACUGGCUGGGAGACAUGGGGACACUGGGAGACUGGCUGGGAGACAUGGGGACAGACAUUGAGAGACUAGGGGACACAGACACUAGGGACACUGGCUGGGAGACAUGGAGACACUGUGUCCCUAGUGUCUUCAUGUCCCAAUGUGUCUCACAGCGUCCCAGUAUCCUCAUGUUUCCCAGUGUCCCCACAUCUCCCAGUGUCUCAUUGUCCCCAUGUGUCCCCUAGUGUCUGUGUCCCCAUGUCUCCCUGCUGCCUUCCCCCCCCCAUCCUUCACAUACCUGGCCUGUAGUCUGUCUCUGCAGGCUGGGAGCGGCUGUCUGGACUCUCUCUGCUGUGUAGCUGUUCCCCUGCGGAUCAGUAAGUAGAGAGAAGCAGGGAGAUGCUGCAACUUCCUAUCCCUGCCUCUCUCCAUACACAGUGACUACUGGCCGGUGCUGGUAUUGCAGAAUAAUCUCAGUUUAUACUGAGACAAAUCUUUGCAUUUGUAUUGCCGGUAUUACUGCAAUACCGUCAUGGCCAGGCAGCCUCAAAUACCGUCUGUGCCUUAAAAUACCAGUCAGGUGGCAAACCUAAGAGUAGUGUGGCAAACCUAAGAGUAAAUGGGCCUAUUCCAUGGGCCUGGGCCUGGAGCUGCAGCUCCAUCAGCCCCUAUGUUAAUCCGGGCCUUGGCUGCAUGGACAUAAACAAAAGUGACUUACCUCCUAAAUGGCAGCAAAUUGAGCAGGGAGACUACAGGGGCCUGAUCUGUAUACACAAACUGCUUCAUUAAGCUAAAUGUUUUGACGACUAUAGUGUCUCUAUUAAAUUGGUAAAAGGGGGAGGAUUAAAGUCAUGUUCUAAGUCUUUUACACUGUAAGCAUGGUAACCACUUUAAUAUAAUUUAAAUACAUAUGCCGUUUUAUGUAGUUGGCGACUACAAAAUAAUUUACAGUUGUAUCUCCUGCGUUGCUCAGUUACAGCCUGUGGAAAAUCUGAAUAUUGUACUGCAGAAUUUAAAGCCAAUGAGUGCCACUAGCACAACUGGGCUUGGCUCAAUGCAGCUGGACUCGUUUAAUAUUUGUUUCACAAUCAAAUUUGGCUUAAAUUUUUAAGCGUCAAAUAACCUAAUGUGAAGGUAGAUAAUUUGUGACAAAAAGCAGUUGAUGUGUCUGAAAAUCUGCAAUUUGAAUGAACACUGUAGGGUCAGGAACACAAAUCUGUAUUUUUGCCCCUACAGUGUUAAAACCACCAUCUAGCCCCCUGGCACUCCCUUGCCCUACUAAAUCUUACCUUUAUUUCAGUCUACUACUGCUGGCUCUACCCCUGAUCUGCCUGUUUGGCUGACAUCAGAAGUGAAAACAUUGGAUUGGCUGAGAUUGUCAAGAAGGCAGAUCAGCAGGCGAGUCAGCACAAGCCAAACACAGCCCUGACCAAUCAGCAUCUCCUCAUAGAAAUGCAUUGGAUCAAUGCUUCUCUAUGAGAAAAGUUCAGUGUCUCCAUACACACUGUGCAGCACUGCUCCUGGAAGCACCUCUAGCAGCCAUCUGAGGAGUGGCCAGUGAAGUUAUCACUAGGCUGUAAUGUAAACACUGCAUUUUCUCUGAAAAUACAGUGUUUACUGCAAAAAGCCUGAAGGGAAUGAUUAUACUCACCAGAACAAAUUCAAUAAGCUGAAGUUGGUCUGGUGAAUAUAUAUAUAUCCCUUUAAUAAAAUUCUUGCACCCCUUGAUAUGUAAUGUUAGUUUGAUUUAUUUUUUAUUUGGUUCUACUGAAUAUAAUUUAGAACAGCUUUAAAUAUUCACCAUUACUUUCUGGAAUAAGUGGAGAAUACUCUAUUCUUUAUACCAUAAAUCUAACCUGGGAAUGAUUUUUAUUCUCUCGGACAGGUCAGAUGGCUCUGAAUGAUGCUGGAAUUCCAUAUUCUGCAGUGGAGCAGGCAUGCGUAGGAUAUGUGUAUGGUAAGUUAUAUCUUUGGCCUGUGUCUCUUUCGUGGUAUAUCAUGUUUUAUAUUCUCUUAUGGUAAAAUGACUGGAGUAAUGUUAAUUCUCAAUUACCCGUGUAAUAAAUAAAGCCAUGUGUAUCAAGGAAAAUUCUAGGACAAAGUUCUACAUAUUGAGCAGUCCCCCAAAAUAAUGUUACAUAGGUUGAAAAUGACUUGCAUCAAUCAAGUUUAGACUUUCUCAAAUCUGUUUUUGCUGUUGAUCCAAAAGAAAGCUAAAAAAAAAAACAAAAAAAAAAAGUUUGAAGUGCUUUGAAUUUUGCAACAAGCAAGCAUAAAAUUCCUUAUUGACCCGAGAAUGGCAGUCAGAUCUCUCCUUGCAUCAAGAAGCUUUUUCCCCACCUAUUAAACCAUAUUUUCCUGAAUAUUCUGUUUUUUCAAGUAUUCAUCCAGUUGCUGUAUAAACAACUGCACAGAUUCUGAUAAAGCCACCUGUUCAGGCAGAGUUCGCAUCCUAUGUAUAGUCUUGUUUAUGAACAGAUUUCCAGACAAUGGUUUUUAUUGGUCCUGAAUAUAUUUGUAAAAUGUGAUCAUAUCCCCUCUAAGAUGCAAUUUUUCUAAACUAAAUUCAUUUGAAUUUGUUAGCCUGUCUUCAUAACUAAAAUGUUCCAUUCCUUUUAUAAAUUUUGUAGCCCGCCUCUGCACUUUUUUAGUGGCAAAAUAUCCUUCUUUAGAACAGGUGACCAAAAUUGCACAGCAUAUUCAAAGUAUGGUCUUACCAGGGAUUUAUAAAGAAGCAAAAUUAUAUUCUCAUCAAGCGAAUUAAUGCCCCUUUUUAUACAUGAUAAUACCUUACUAGCCUUAGCAACUGCCGAUUGACAGUAUAGUAUAUAUAGUCACCAGAACAACUACAGAUUAUGGUAUUUGUUUUGGUGAGUGGGUCAGUCCCUGCAGGUUUUUUAAUGUAAACAAUGCCUUUUAAGAGAAAAUGCAUUGUUUACAUUAUUCCCUAGUAACACCGCCAGUGGCAGUAACUCAGACCGCCACUAGAGGUGUUUCCUGGGCUUACGUUUAGCGUUUCCACACUCUGCAGUCGAGGUGAUGAACUUUCCCCAUAGAGAUGCAUUGAUUCAAAGCAUCUCUACGAGGAGAUGCUGAUUGGCACAGCGUUUUUCUGCGAAUGUGUGAUUGCCUCUCAAUGCUUUUCCUGCAGGAAAGCAAUGGAUUGGCUGGGAUCAUAAAGUUUGAUUUCAGCCAAGGGGACGGGCCAGCAGCAACCAGACCUGCGUGGCACUGGAAAAGGGAGCAAAACACCUUAUUAACCGGACGUACACUAUAAAUGACCACUCUCUUUAAGCCAAUGUUCUACCCACUAACAAGAAUUUUCAUCUAGAACACAAGUUCUUUUAGUUUGAACACUAACCUAAUGUGUGAAACCAUAUCGAACGCCUCUUGCUGAUCAAUAACAUUUAGCACUUUCUGCAGAAUUGUUCCAGUUUUUGCCAUUCUAACCCAUUGUCUUUUUUUUUUUUCCCUCUCUUCUGGUGUAGGUGAUUCCACAUGUGGGCAACGUGCAAUCUAUCACAGUUUGGGGCUGACUGGGAUUCCCAUUAUCAAUGUCAACAAUAACUGCUCUACCGGGUCCACAGCACUCUUCAUGGCCAGGCAGCUGGUGCAGGGAGGUGAGAAUCAAUUCGGGUCCACUGCAAGUAGCACUACAGGGGUACACAAAUUGCUCAGUGUUUCUCUAAUCUCUGUUGUCUAGGAUGAUUUCUUAACCUAUAUAAUGUUCCCAAAUACUGUUCUUGGCAAGAGGCCCUACAAUAUAAGCGUCCCUCUGUCCAUGUUUCUGAUAACUUGGAAUCUUGGACUGAACAGGAGUUAAUAAAUACUGGAUAAAAAGCUUUCAUGUGGAUAAGAGGGAAUAUUAUUCUAGCCCUAUUCAUGGGUCCCUAUCGCUGCAUGUCCUAAAGGGCUGGUAGAUAAAGAAACAGUGUUAUCAAGUAGCCUUUAUUUAACCCAAGAGAGCCAGAUCCCUAUUGCUGUCUGUGUCUGUAGAUACUACCUUUUUUGUGUUCUCUUUCCUAUGCAGUGGUUUCAGAAUGUAAAAUGUUCUUAGAAUUGGAUAUUCAGAGCCGCAUUAAUUCAGCAGUCCGCAAUAGGGUUGCACGCCAGUGCCACUGAGUAGCAGUGCUUUGUCAAUUCCAAAUUUUACUUUGUGUUCCUUAGGACUAUGUGACUGUGCCUUGGCUCUUGGUUUUGAGAAGAUGGAGCGUGGGUCUCUAUCAUCCAAGGUAACGCCUGUUUUAGUAUAAGCGUUGGUGGAAUUAUCUGCAUGUCAUAGAUGGGGAUGAUUGCGCUGCGGCUGUACCAAAUUCUGAGUUGGUAGAUCAAAAAGCAUACAUAAUUGAGCCAAAACCAAUAAGGGGGGGAGGGGAAAAGCCAUAACAGUGCAAAAUUUGUGUAAAAAAAAACAAAACACAAAACAAACCUUUUAAUGCUUCAUAGUUAAAAUUGUGGCUUGGCCCAGAAUUAGGCGAAGACGCUACCACUUUAAUGCCAAAGAAUUUUGUGCCAUAAUCGGUUAAAAUUAUAUUUAAAACCUAAAGUAUAUGAAAAGUUACAGAAUCUGUUGCUGGUACUGAAAGUAAUUUUUAUUUUUAUCUGUACAUCGAAAAACAUACAGGAUUUGAUUAUUGUCUUGUUUGCAAAACGAACAUCGGCAAGCUACAUAAAGAUCUAGUAACCAUUGUAGGGGAGAGGUCAUACAUGUAUAUAAUCUACUUCGACUGUACAAAACUAUAAUAAGAAUAGAUCUGGAUUAGUGAUCAGACAGUCUCAGAAAAUAUGCAGGGCAGAGGUUAACAAACACUGUACACCAGCAAAAGCUAAUAAAAUUAAAGGAUGAGUCAACGAUUACAAAAUCACAUAGCAGAAAGCUCACAGGUGUUUAAAGUGAAUGUCUAAUGUGAGGUUGUGUGUGUGUGGUGGUUUUUCUCUGUUCUACAAACCAAACAUUCUCAAUGAUAUAAGGGAAAAAGAAAGUAAGCUAAAUAAUGUUUCCUUCUAAAUACAUGGAAUGUCUGUCCUGUUACCGCGUUUCUCCCCUCCAGUUACCCCUUGUCUUCCCCAAAAUUAACCUUUCUUUCUUCUAUUACUGUAGUAUACUGACCGGACCAACCCUAUGGACAAGCACAUGGAGGUGAUCAUAAAUAAGUAUGGCUUGGCACCUAUUCCUGUAGCUCCUCAGAUGUUUGGUUCUGCUGGUAGAGAACAUAUGGAAAAAUAUGGUAAUUUCUUCUUAAUAACCAAAAGUAAUGUGUCUUCUAGACCCAGAGUGAGUGGCUAAUACCUGUUUUCUGACUUCUGUCAGCCUGUUUAAAGUGGAUUUGUCCCCACCUGAGAUUUACCUUAUUAAACUUGUGCUACUCAGUCAGUCUUUCCUUUUUUCCUUUUUUCUUCAGUUUUUUUCUUCUGAAAUGGGUAAUUAUCCACCUACCUGAACCGAGCUUAUGUUUCCCAUCUCUUAACUCUUCAUGCAACUCCUCCCAAACUUAUUCUUCACUACAGUGUCAAUUGUUAGGAAUUCAAAUAGAGCUAUUCAUCAAAUUUUUGCGAAUUGCCAGUAAAUACAGUUAUGACCAAAUCAUGGCAAAAAUAGCCAAGUUGGGAAUAUUGCGGAGUUGGAGACUCAAUGCUUCAGGUUUUGUUUUGUUUUUCUUACUUUUUUUGGGGGGGAGGGGGGGUUUCUCCAAAUUCCAAUCAGUUUACUGAAUAGCAAUGAAAAGAAAUUUCACAUUUUAGGCUGCAAUAGCCCUAAUUAUCUUGUUCUAGUAGCUUUAAAAAUGCACAUUGAAUUUCCAACAAUUCACAGUUUAAUGAAGAACCCUGACCAAGUUCUGCGAAUUGAGCCAUUCUGAUGCAGAUUUUAAAAUUUGAAUAAAGUGGAUCUGUCAACUUCACACCGUCGCAUGUUUUUCAUAUAGUUUUCAUAUGCCUUUUGCAAAAGCCCAAAAUUUCAAGUUCUAGGUCACUUGCUUAGCACAUGUUGCCUAUAUAAUCAUUCUCAAGCAACACUCUCAAACAGGUGUGUUCGACAUUGGACCUCCUGAUAAUGAAAUUUCUUUCCCAUUUAUUUAUUUUUCGCUAGUUAGUCAAAAAAUGACACCGAAAUGGUUGGUUUUUCACGAAGGUGAGAUUUGUAGGAAUUUUUAAAGUGAAUGUCAAAUUUUAGACAAAAACGGCCAACUCUAAGCAUAGAUGACUUGAUGAUUUUGGCAUUAAAUUUGAAAUGCUCUUUGAAUUCUGAAGAAUUGUCACUUUAGUUAAUAGCUCUAUGACUGGCAGAAGGUUUUUAGAAAAGUACAUACAUUUUGCGCAGUUUCCAGCUAACAAAAUUCAACUUGUAUAAACUUCAAUUCCAUCUCCUUUUUGAAUACUAGAUUAUAUCAAAUGAGGGGGAAUGUUUUUGUUUUAAUUGGAUUUCUAUAGAGGGUAGACUAUUUCAGAAUGUUUGUUUUUAUGGGAUGUUUCAUGGAACUGAAAGUCAUAAUCUGAACAAACUCAUUUCUGCACCAAUUUACUCCAGUUUAAAGUCACGUUGCUGUUGAAUUCUAUAAUACACCCAUAUUCAGUGUGUACACUGCUGUUUAUUGCGCUUUGCACUGGUACACAAUGCACAUUACUUUGUUUAGUACUGUAGAUCUCUAAUACAUUUGUGUACACUGCACAGUACAUGAUACAUUCACAAACUGCACAUUACUGUUGGCUUAUUUGCUCUGUUACUCUCCUAAACCAAACGUUCUAAGCCGUCCUACAACAAAAGUGCAGUGAGAUUUGGGCUCCAAAGAGGAACUGUCCCUUCUAAAGCAGUUCUCUGGAUUUUAAAAAAUUCAUUAUUUAUGAGCAUGGGAUGAUACAUAAGACAGCGACAUUUAAAUAUCGCCAAAUGCAGUGAAAAAUACAGACAUGUAUACAUGAACUGCUUUAUCUUUUUAUUAUGAUUUAUAUAUAUAUAUAUUUUUUUUAUUUUCUUAAUUUUUAUAGUUUUGCGUGGACUCAGGACAUACUUGAAAAUGAGAGAAAUCUCAAUGUAUCUUUCCUGGUAAAAUAUUUUAUAAAUAAAUAAAUAAUAUACAAUUGUAACGGACCCCUUCGUUACAGGGACCGCUUCCUAGCUGGAACAGGGGAACCGAUAGGUGAACUAGCUCUCAGUCCUUAUAAGGACUUACCUUGCUGCGACAAGCUGGCCCAGGGAUUAACCCUUUCUCCCCCCUCCCAGUAACUGGACAACACCUAGUUCUGGAGGUACAACUCUCUGAUAAUCUUUAUUGCACAGACCAGCGCAGGGAGUCUCCACUCUUUCAAUACACUUUCCUUUGUCCCAGGCAGGAGAGGGGGGUUGGUUACAGAUAACCAUCUCCCACUCUGGGAGAUACCAACAGGACACCGUUACAUACAUUAAAACAUAUUACACACGGGUGGAAACUGAGGGGCUCUGCGCCCCAGGAAGGGGUCACACAUGUAGAACGUAUAUCCCUGGAUAGCCCUGUUUCCCAACUAGGGUCCCUGCAAAUAGAGGGGCUAUCGGAUGCAUCCCCGAAAAUAGUUCCACAGCGUUGUUUAGUAAACUUCGCUCCUAAACCAUACAAUAGCCAAUCAGAUGAAAGGCACGAAACAAAUUUUCACCAAUCAGCACACAGGAUGUAGAGGGGUUUCACCGCUCAAUCAGGAGAAAGGGUGUGAAACCCAGUUUGAAUAGGCGCUCCUUCUCUGAUUGGUUGAUGCAGGAGACCAAUCAGCUCACACUCGUGCCGAUCCAUCAGAAGAAUGGCUGUGAAGCCGAUUUCACAGCUCCAGGGUCUUCGCUGGGGCUCGCGCCUCUCUUCGGUGGCUGCCUACACUUAGGAAGCCUCGCAGCUCCCCGGUAGGGGAGUAGUGAUUACAGGUCCGUUAGGAGCAGGUAGGGCGAUCCAUACCGCCAGUACCCCAACCCCCAGUGUGAAGACCCCGCAAGGGAUACCAAUGCUCCCCCCCCCCCCCGGGUGGCGUUCGCCUAUACAAAUGGCGGCCACCGAGGGGAGCACUUAUUAAUUACUUCCCUUGUGGUUUCACACUUAUGUUGCAGGUGUGAACAUUCUGAUUUAUUGGUGUAAACAUUCUAAUGGGGUACCAGGGUGGUCCGCGUUCAGGAGACAAACGGGUUAUGUUCACGUGAGCACUACGAAGGUCAACAGGGUAUAUAACACGAAAUACAUGGGGAACCGUACAUUACACAGGGGAAAACCAACGAAUAAGCAGUGGGCAUGGUACUCAGUGACAGCAGUCCGUCACAACAAUGCUAAUAGAUGAAAUAGAAAAGGAAGAAAAAGUAAGCCGAUCGCUUUGCAUGCUACUUUACCGACAAGAUUGAACAGCUAAGUUCUUUCUCAAACAUACGUUGAUCAUGCCUUUCCUACCCUUGAGACUUUCUCCCUGGCUACUGCGCUUCUCCUUUCAUCACGCCCCACCACUUGCCCACUCGAUCCUGUACCAUCUCACCUUAUAAAAUCUCUCUCCCCCUGUCUUGUGUCUUCCUUAACACACCUCUUCAACUGCUCACUCUCUUCUGGCGUUGUGCCUGCUGACCGUAAACAUGCCACUGUAGUACCGAUCCUGAAAAAAAACAAAACAUCUCUUGACCCUUCCUCCCCCCUCUAUCGUCUCAUAUCCCUGCUCCCUUUUUCCUCAAAGCUUGUCUCACUUCCUCAAGUCCAACUCUCCUUUACCCUCUUCAAUCCGGCUUCCGCCCUCCCCACUCUAAUGAGACUGCUCUUAUCAAACUGACUAACUACCUAAUCGCAGUUAAAUCCAAAGGCGACUAUUCCAUACUAAUUCUUCUUGACCUUUGCUGCCUUUUAUAACCAUUGAUGAUGCUCUCCUUCUUCAAACUCUUCAAUCACUUGGUCUCUGUGACUCUGUUCUCUCGUGGUUUUCCUCUUAUCUCUUCCAACGCUCAUUCAGUGUCUCCUUUUCUAAUGAUACCUCCUGUCCUUUGUCCCCUUCUAAUUUUUUUUUAUAUAUCUUUAUACUGUCUCUCUUGGCAAACUUAUUGCAUCAUUUGGAUUCCACUACCACCUGUACGGUGAUGACACCCAGAUAUAUCUCUCCUCCCCAGACCUCUCCCCUGCUGUCCUGCAACGUGUCACUGCUUGCUGUUCUUCCAUCUCUGACUGGAUGUCCUCGCGCUUUCUGAAACUCAAUCUCUCUAAAACUGAGCUCCUUGUCUUUCCUCCUCCUCUUUCGCUCUCCCUUCAAGUUAGUGGUAUCUACAUAAGUCCAUCCUUGCAAGCGCACUGUCUUGGCGUUAUACUUGAUUCUGGCCUCACAUCCAGUUUGUUGCCAAAUCCUGUAGAUUCCACCUUUAAAAACAUAGCACGCAUCCGCCCCUUUCUUACACAAGAUACUACCAAUGAGCUUAUCCAUGCUCUAGUAAUUUCCCGCAUGGAUUAUUGUAACCCUCUCCGAACUGUUCUGCUCAAAAGCCGUAUUGCCCCGCUACAGUCUGUAAUGAAUGCUGCCGCCAGACUGAUUUUCCUCUCUAGUCGGUCCUCUCACACUUCACCCCUCUGUCAGUCUUUACAUUGGCUUCCUGUAUCCUAUAGGAAUCAAUUCAGAGUGCUAACCCAUACCUAUAAAGCACUGACCAAUUCUAGCCCCUCUUAUAUCUCUUCACAGAUCCAUAGGUAUGCCCCUUCUCGAUCUCUCAGCUCUGCUCGUGACCUUCUCCUGUCCGCUGCUCGCACCCGUACGGUCAACUCACGCUUGCAGGACUUAUCGUGGGCAGCUCCCUUCCUGUGGAAAAGCCUGUCUACCGCCAUCAGACUCUCCCCUAGUCUUCAAUCAUUUAAGAAGUGCCUUAAAAUCCAUAGGAAAGCUUGUAACCUCUACCUCACACCUACCUGUCCCUUGCCCCUUUGCCCUCUCCUAAAGGGUAGCACUUUACUCUCUCCUCCAGCUCUGCUUCACUCCCACCUUAUUUGAUUGCUAUUUCCUGUCCUAAUGUGUUUUAUACCCCACCUCCUAUAGAAUUGUCCUAUUUAUAGAUAAAUCUUAUAAUAUUGUAAAGCGCUACGGAAUCUGCUGGCGCUAUAAAAAUGGCAAUAAUAGAGUUUAAAGAAAAGGGGGGAAAAAAAGAGGGGGUUAAGAAAGGUUUUCUCCCGCAGGUCCAGCAAAGCUAGUGAAAGUUGAUAAGGAGUAGGCUAUUUUCUGUUCUUUAACAGUUUCCAUUAUUCAAUUUUUCUUAUUUAAUCUGAUACCAUGUUCUGCCAUAAUGACUCUCACCCCACAGGCACCAAGAAGGAACACUUUGCCAAGAUCGCAUGGAAGAAUCACAAACAUUCUGUUAAUAACCCGUAAGUGUUGUGGGUCACCGAGCAUAAAGCUUGAGCACACCAGCAUACCGAGGGUCCAUGGAAUGGUGGGUGUGGCUUACGGCUUCCUCUGCCAAAGGACUAUUCUAAAAGUAUAUGUCUGCACCUACAUUUUAUCCAUACUCCACCCACAUUAAUUGAUGCCACGCCCAUUGAGUUUAAUUCUUUAAAGUUAGGGGAAAAUCUGUAGUUGUUCCUAGUCUCAUUUGUGUUGCACAUCCACUGUGAAUAUAAGGUUUAAGUGAUACUCUCUGGUCUAUUUAUUUCGUUUUUUUUGUUUGUCACAAUUUUUAUAGGAACUCUCAGUUCCGUGACGAGUACAGCUUGGAUCAAGUGCUGAAUUCCAGGAAAAUCUUUGAAUACCUGACUAUACUUCAGUGCUGGUACUAGAAAUUAAUGUGUUUGUAGUUUUGUUUGUGGAAAUGUACUUGUAUCUUUUUAUUAGAAUCUUUUUUUUUUUUUUUUUUUUUAUGGCGGUGACGGGUUAGGUUUGUGUGUUCUGUGAAAACUUAGACCUCACUUUAAUAUUGUUUGAUAAUUUGCAAAUUAUUCAAUAUUUUUGGAAUAAGCUUUUAAAAUUAAUUUUUUUUAAUUAAUACAAUUAUAAAAUAUAUAUAUAUAUAUCUCAAAAUAAUACAUUUUGAAUAUUUUUCAUAAUAUUAAAUGCAUUUUAAAAGUUGAUUUAAAAAAUAUGAAAUCACUUGGAAAGUGUGUGGGGUUUUUUUUAACCAGUAAACUGAGAAAUCUAGCACUAUGACCUUCCGUAUGUUAUGUGGAAAUCAAAAAUAUUUUAAAUCUGACUUCUAAACUAGUCCGUUUGUUUGUUUUCCUCCCUGAUGCCACGUGGAUAUGUUAAUAUGUGGAAAGCCUUUUUUCUAAAUCUGUUCUUGGUCUCAAGACUUCCCAAGUGGAUCAGAGAUCUGUUAAUUAAUAUAAUGAGCACACAUGCUGAACACACCAUACACCGGUCUCCAGUCAAAACCACAAACUGGAAGGCUUCCUGAUAUGGGAGUUGUCAUGGAAAAAAAUGUUUUUUUUUUUGUUGUCUUCCAUCCAGUGUGAGCUGCUGUGUUCCCUGAGUAUUCUACAGAUGUAUGACUGAGAACACUGGCAGCAGGUUGAUUAGCACUUCUUCCAUUGGGCAGGAUAUUCUCAAAAUAAGCCAAAUGAGGAAAACAAUCUUUAAUAUCUCUUAAAGGGUUAUGGUCAUUACAACUUUGCAUAGUAGCCCUAGUUAAUAUGUAUGUGCUGCAAUAUAUCAGAAGUAUAUGAUUCACUAUAUUUCUCGUUUAAAGUGCCAGUUGUUAGAGCAACCGCUAUCUUGAUAUAGCUGUGGCUAUCUUUUAUAAAUGCUUCUUUUUGAGUGGGUCAGCAACACGUUACUCUGUUUCUCAAGACCACUUCGAUUGGACUCCACUCGUUUGUGACAACUUUUUUUUUAAAUUUAUUUUGAAACCCACAGCCCAACCUCUGAUGGUGCUGCUGCUGCCAUUGUAGUGAGUGAAGAUUUUGUGCGCAAGCACAGGCUGGAGGGACAAGCCGUGGAGAUCCUGGCACAGGAAAUGGUCACUGAUACCAGAAGUACAUUUGAAGAAGAAAGCUGCAUAAAGGCGGUAAGAAUAACCACUCUGGGUACCGUAACUGCUACAUUGCAUUUAAAUUGUUUUGGUGCCAAGAGGUCCCAUGCACCAUCUUACCUGAAGGUGUUAAACCAUUAAUAAACAAUUUAACCUGAAAGCCAGCGCUCAAUCACUCUACCCCUCCACUUUCUCUUAAGGGUUGAAGCCUCGAACCAAGCGCUGAUUAGACAAAUUGCAGGGGCAGAAAGUUUGGGCAGUGGCUUUCAGACUUUGGGGUUAAACCAGGGUAAGUAGAGUUCCCAGGGACCUCUUUGUACCAUAACAACUUAAUUACAAUUAAUUUAUCAUGGUGCCCACCCUGUUCCUUUAAAGUGGGACAUUGUUCCAUGACCAGGCUUGAUUGUCUAUAAAAUUCAUAAGUUUCUCUACUUCUUACUGUUAAGUGCCUGAUCCAUCUGCCGUUUUCACAGUAGCCUGAAGAGUUGGCUCCACCAUACGAAGUCAACCAUACGGUGAUAAAAGACAAAUCCAGUAUUGAAUUUGCAGAUUCCCGUUCUUGAUUUUUACCACAACCUACUCUAUUGCCUUCUAAUUUUAGAGUGUUUGACUUCUGUGACUAUAAGAUCACCUUUCUCCCUAAUCUACUUGCCUUUGGCUAACUUUCACUCGUGUGGCUUCCAGUCUGCCACAGCAUUCUUUUCCACUUAUGGAUAUGGAAUGGUGUCACCUAGAAUAUUUUGUGGUGCCUAAAUUACUGUUUCGCUCUAUACUCUGAAAGGUUCUCUUAUUUCCCACCCAUUCUAGGUUGGGUUUGACAUGUCCAGACUUGCUGCUGAGAAAUGCUUCACGAAAACUGGCUUAAGACCAGAAGACGUAGAUGUGAUUGAACUUCAUGACUGUUUCUCUGCUAAUGAGCUCAUCACAUACGAGGCACUAGGGCUUUGCCCCAUAGGUAAUUGGCAAGCACUGCCUAACCAUCGUUGUGCAGGAGAACUCCUUUAUCCAACAACUGCUACCUGCUGCCCUUCUUACUAACCCUGCUCCAUGUUCUGUAGGUCAAGCUGGAGCUCUGAUUGACCGAGGAGACAAUACAUAUGGCGGUCGAUGGGUAAUUAAUCCUAGUGGAGGUUUGAUCUCUAAAGGCCACCCACUUGGAGCAACAGGUUAGAAAUGUACACGUUCAAUUUCAAAAUACGCAAACCUGGUAUAAUCUAGAAUUGUAUUUUUGGGUUGAGGGGGAAAGUAGCAGAAACUUCUAAUGAAAAGUUGUAGUGACGAGAGAGAGAGAGUGUGUGUGUCUGUCUGUCUGUCUUUCUUAACCCAACAUGGAAGAUAACUGAGUCUUUCCCUCCUCUCCUGUCUAUUUAAAAAAAAAAAAUAUAUAUAUAUAUAUAUAUAUAUAUAUAAUAUAAAUGUUUUUUUUGUUUGUUUUUUUUAAUUUUUUUAUUUGAGCUAAAAAGUUUCCUAUUCCUUCACGGUGUAUUAUGGAAGAAAAAUGCAUACAUUACUAAUAACAUGCCAUAUCUAUAUUAAAAUGUGGCACAAACAAUGAUGUGAAUCAUCCCACUUUUAUAAUAAUUUUUUUUAUUUUUUUUUGUCAAAUCCAGAACACGUAGUGAAGCGCUGAGGGUAUACUGGUGAGAUAAAGAUAGUACUGAAAUCAUACCAAGAGAUAUGAUACAAAUCCAUAACGAGGGAUUGCACUGCUCAUGCACAUGAGUUGGAGUUAAACUAUAGCUCCAUAAAGUGUAGGUGCAUCUCAUUAUCCUGUUCCCUUAGUGAUUACAGAUAUAUUGCACGAUCCAUUUCUUCUUUUGUCCCAUUAAUAUCAUUCCAUGCUACUACUCGUAAGGACCCCUAAAAGUGCUUCUUCCAACUCCUUUUGUGAGUAAUUUUUUUUUUUUAAUGUUUGCAAUGAAAAUACAGUAAGUCUCUUUCCACUAAGCUUAGGUCGAGUUAGUGCAAAGCAGGUAAUGUUUGCUGCUGACAGAGUUGGAGAAUGUGUGUGUGUGUGUGUUGUGUUGUGUUGUGUUGUGUUGUUUUUUUUGUUUUUGUUUUUUCUCGAUCAUAUCCAAAGAGGUACAAGGCUUUCAUAAAAACUGGUUCUCUGUCACCACUCCCAUGGCUUCAUAAAAAACAAGGUUAUGGUACCCACAAUCUCCUUGCAUCAUGACCCUUUGCUGUUUAUCCUUCCUCGUCAUUAUUUAUCUCUCUCUAAAAAGAAGGAGAGAAAAUUGGAUCUUGCAUUUUAGAACAUUUGGUUAAUUAGAGUUUGGUUGUCUCUGAUAAUGGUACCUGCAGUAUCCCUUUAAACUGACACCCAAAAAGAUUUUUUUGGCAGACCUCUACUCCUAAAGGAACAUUCCAAAUGGGGAGGGAGGGAAGGAACUGUUAAGUAGAUAUACCCCCAAAGAGAUCAGAGUGGAGGGUGAGGGGGAGGAAUCAAUAGGACAAGGUACAAUGGAGCCGUAUGAACAUGAGCAUGCUCAUAGGGUCAUUAGGACUUGUGGGAGAAGACAGGUGUGCUUUAGCCGAUGUUGUGGAUCGUAUGUAAGAGGGAAAAUGCCUCCCCCUGAUGUCUGAUAGCCACGGAGGUAUUGCUUAGUUGAUUUAUAAAAAUGUCAAUAUCACUUAGAAAUAGGCACUCUUAUAAAGUACACUUAGCAUGGGAUACUCAUUACACAAGCAAGCUUGCGUGUGUUUGAGUGUGGAGUGAUUCUUUAACCAUACUAUACAAUGUUUAUGCAUUUUAUAGCUAAAUUAGCUUUAGGGUUAUGACGCCAUUUCAUCUGUCAUGCACAUUUUUUUUUUUUUUCUUUAUUUUUGAACGUGCAUGAGAUUACAAUACCUCCUGCAUUGCCACAACAGCAAAUGCGAGGAUUUGCAGUACAUUCAAUGAUACAUGUAGGUUGACAUUGAGAACUGUUAGAGACAAUACUUUGCAUCAUUUGAGAGAACAGCACGAAAUUUUAUAUUUAAAGUAUGGUGACUAGUUAAACAUAACACUUGUUUGUCUGGGCAGAGAGUGUCUUAGUGACGAGUCGUGUUAGGCAAGUUAGUAAGAACGAUUAAGCCUCACAACACUGGUGGAGGAAAAACAUGAGUGACCAAAGUAAUGUAGUGGAGUAAUAUAGUGGCACCUUGUUAAGUUAUAUAUAUCCCGCAGGCUAAACAGGCUAGACAGUAAAAGUCUGGAGUGACUAGUGAAGGGAAGUAGCUAAAUUUGGUUAUAUACCUGAUGAUGGCAAUUUAAGCAAGGUAGGAGUAUAUACCCCUUGCGACUGCAUGGUUUUGUUUGGUUAUGGUCUGAGCAUUUUACGAGUUCUGGCAGUGGGCUCCCUUUUUUUUUUUUUUCGUUUCCCUUUCCCUUUCCUUUCGCACAAUUUUAGCUUAUAAACAGCAUUGAGGUUGUACGUAAAUUGGGCAGUGGCAUGAGAAAUGCACAGUGUUAUACGUAUAGUUAUGCCAAUCAUCAGCCUGGCUAUCCCGUUUUGUCAUUAGAAUAUGGCGCAAAGAGAAGUUUAAAGGUAAGCUCAGACAGGUUUAGGUCAUGCACAUUUUUAAUGUCUCAAUAAAACAGAGAAUGACAAUAAAUAAAUAAAAUCGCCUUAGCUUUUUGUAUUAUUUGCAUACUAUUGUAUUAUGUGUAAUAGAAAACAAGCAUUUUCAGAAUUUUACAUCUUAACCCUGACUACCCCAUCCCAUUCCCCAUAUAUCCCUAUUGUUAAAUUAUUCCUUAUUGCUUGUUCCUGUUGCUGGUUCACAAUGUCACAGCUCAGAUACUGUUUCUAGCACAGAAAAUGAAAAAAGUUAAUUACUGUACUUUGUCUUCCAGUAGUUCCUAAUCUAUCCACAAGUCCCUUCUCUAUCCAUAAACCCUGACGUGCUUGGAAGGUUCCAUAGUAAAGCAUUAGAGGUUCCUCAGAGGCUAAUCCCUGCCAUGUCUGGGUAGUGUUAACGUCCAUUAUGUGUAGCACCUAGGAUCUAUUGCGUAUUUUCUUCUAAUGCUGGCCACUUUGGCCUUAAAGGAACACUAGAGCGUUGUGAAUACAAAAUUGAACUCCGAACACAAUUGUGUGGAGAUGUCGGUCUCUCCCCUUUCCGAGUGUGUGUUCAUUAUUUUCUUUUUUCUUUUUUUUUAACUUUUUUUUUUGCAUUGCCAAUGUUCCCUUUGCGCUGUUAACCUAUCCUCUGCCACGAUGGUUCUAGAAGAGCAUUAGGGACCUGAUGCACAUGCAUGUAAGCUUCCCCAUAGGAAAGCACUGAAUCAAUACUUUCUUAUGGGGGUUGCUGCAUCACUUGACCGUUUUAAUCCGUCAAUGCCUCGAAAGUGCCUUUAGUGGCUGUCAGUAACAUAGCUACUAGAGGUGGCCUUAACCAUGCAAUCAAAACAUUGCAGUUUCUAAAACAAUAACUAACUGCAAUGUUAUAUAUAAUUUUUUAUUUUUUUUGGCAGCAUUAAGAUGGAAGUGGCCUGGGUGACUUUAGUGGUCCCAUAUUUUUAAUUCACAAAUUAGGUGAUAAUUCACUAAAAUCUGAAUUGUGGCAUUUGGGUGAAAAAAUGGGUAAAGGGGGAGGAGGAGAAGAUGUGGUCCUAAAAAGCCAUUUAAUCUGAAUUUUGCUUUUUGGAUUUUGAUUAUCUCUUAUUAAGAGUUUUUGGCGUAUAAGCCCCCUUAGUGAGUAACCCUGUAAAUGGGCAGGUACAGCCUAAGACACUGGUCGCUCUUCAGCAAAUGACAAAACAACCCGUCAGUGGCUCAAACCACAGUGUACUAACCUGCAGGCCGUCUUUGCAGCUAGUUGUGCAAUCUGGAAUAAUUUAAUAUUAUCAGGCUUUUUAGAUGCCUACCAAUCAGUUGGAGACAACUCCAAGCAGACUUGCUUGUGUGAUGUUUAUUUAAUUACUGUCAAACUGAUUUUGCAAUUUGAUCUAUCUGCACCCUAUCCUAUCGCAGAAACCUUCAAGCCGUUGGCAGAGUUUUGUAUGUGAAAGGGCAGACCCUGCUCUUAUCUGUUUAUUUCUGCCAUGUUUUGGGCUCUUUAUCUUGGUUUUCGAUAGCACUUUGAAGACUUUACCCCCCUGAACAUUGAACUUCAUAUAGAUCUCGCAAAAUACUGAUCACAUACAGUGAUAAAGGGUUACUAUGUCUCCGAAAACUAACCAAGAUUCCAUUACAUAGACCUUUAACCUGUCAAUUAAAUUGGAAGUGUUUUGUAUUUCUGUGUGGCCCAUUUUUCCCAUUGCAUUCUUUCCAGUAAAGACUAUUGGUAUAUGUGUUUUAAUUUCACUAAGUAACAGAAGUGCAUAUUACAUUUCUAUUUGUGAGAUAUACAUUGGUUGCCUGACUGUGCCUUUACAGACUGCUCUUAUGUCAGUGAAGUAUGGCAAUGUACAGUAAACACUAUUCUGUAAAGUAAUCGUUUUAUAAACCAGAAAAUAAUCUUGUCUGAGACUAAACACAUUCCCACCCUCUCCAAAUUUUACACAAAACAUACUUGUGCUUAAUUUUUGGAAAUUACAGUUUUAAAAUGGCAUUGUCCAAAAUAUCGAUGGUUUCUACUACCUAUAGAAUGAGAGACCACAUUUAAAAUUUAAUAUUUUUGUUUAAAAGACACUUUUAAUGCAGAUCUGUGUGUAAAAUUUAAAAAAAAUUUUUCAUGUUGAUGGGGUGUGCAUGAAAAGUGCUCCCCCUCUGUCCCUUUUGUUUUUAAAUGGGGCCUAUGCACAUAUAACAGCCUGCCACUGGAUUUUAACCCCUUAAGGACACAUGAUGGAAAUAUUCCAUCAUGCUUCAAUUUUAUUUCUAAAGUUGUCCUUAAGGGGUUAAUUAAUUUAUUGUUACUCUCUAUGGUUGCUGCAAUUGCCCCUGGUACUGCACUGCAUGUGUUGGGCCAUUCAUUCCUGAAGCAGCACAUUAAUUCUGACUAAUUUCUCUGCUGCAGUAAAUGCAUUCUCCACAUUUCAUGUGCUGCCAAUAGUAUCAACAAUUGGAAGUAAGGAAAAACCUGAAUUCCUCAAACUAAAAGGGUUUAUUUAUUAAACUAUUGUAGUGGAUUUGUAUGGAAAGAGUGGGGUUUGUUUUUACUAAUUUACUGUAACAUGGGCUGUAUUAUAUCCAUUUUCUUUGCACACAAGUUUAUUAUCCCAGAGUAAAUAGCUGCAGUGCAGUUAGUGUUUGAAGGGUUAAUAAGUGCAGUUCCUUGUGCUGGCCAGCAGGGUGUGCCCGAGGGCCGGAAGCACAGUAUUAAAUGUCCGUGUGUCUCCCAGGGCUGGCUCAGUGUGCUGAACUCUGCUGGCAGCUCAGAGGUCUGGCCGGACCCAGACAGGUUCCUGGAGCCAAGAUCGGUCUGCAGCACAACAUCGGCCUCGGGGGAGCAGCGGUGGUCACUCUGUACAGGAUGGGAUUCCCAGGCUCUGCAUCCAGGUGAGAGAGACAGGGGCUGCAGGCUGCCAUGGCCUUAUUAUACAAGAUACAUUGUAUCUCUCUAUCCCAUGGCCUUAUUAUAUAAUGUAUAUUGUAUCUCUCUAUCCCAUGGCCUUAUUAUACAAGAUACAUUGUAUCUCUCUAUCCCAUGGCCUUAUUAUACAAGAUACAUUGUAUCUCUCUAUCCCAUGGCAUUAUUAUACAAGAUACAUUGUAUCUCUCUAUCCCAUGGCUUUAUUAUACAAGAUACAUUGUAUCUCUCUAUCCCAUGGCCUUAUUAUACAACAUACAUUGUAUCUCUCUAUCCCAUGGCCUUAUUAUACAAGAUACAUUGUAUCUCUCUAUCUCAUGGCUUUAUUAUAUAAUGUAUAUUGUAUCUCUCUAUCCCAUGGCCUUAUUAUACAAGAUACAUUGUAUCUCUCUAUCUCAUGGCUUUAUAAUAUAAUGUAUAUUGUAUCUCUCUAUCCCAUCGCUUUAUUAUAUAAUGUAUACAUUGUAUCUCUCUAUCCCAUGGCUUUAUUAUACAUGAUACAUUGUAUCUCUCUAUCCCAUGGCUUUAUAAUAUAAUGUAUACGUUGUAUCUCUCUAUCCCAUGGCCUUAUUAUACAAGAUACAUUGUAUCUCUCUAUCUCAUGGCUUUAUUAUACAAGAUACAUUGUAUCGCUUUAUUAUAUAAUGUAUACAUUGCAUCUCUCUAUCCCAUGGCCUUACUCUAUAAUCUUGUAUACAGUGUGUAAUAAAAAUAUCUCUAUCCUAUGGCCUUGUAUACAAUUUAUAUAAAAAUAUCUCUAUCCUAUGGCCUUGUAUACAAUUUAUAUAAAAAAAAAAAAAAUCUCUAUCCUAUGGCUUUAUCAUAUAAUGUAUUGCAUCUCUCGAUCCCAUGGCUUUAUUAUGUAAUCCUCUUAUACAAUGUAUAUCUUUUUAUAUAAAUAUCUCUAUCCUAUGGCCUUACUGUAUAAUAUAAUAUAAUAUUAUUUAUAUAAAUAUCUCAAUCUCAUGCAGGUGUCUGCAGUGUUUUAUAAAGAUAUUAUACAAUACUGUAUAUUUCCAAACACCCAGCACAGAAUUGCAGAGUAAAAUCACUCUGAUAUAUCAGAUGUAGCUGUUAUCUUAAUGCAUUUAUAAAUAGCAGACACUUGCCAGAUUGACGGCUAAUAACUACCAAACAAUGGUUGCGGUUUGCCCACCCAUGGCCAGUUAAAUCAUUGGGCUUGGUGUUACUUUAAGGUCACUAUACCCUGCAGGUGGGAGAAUCAUGUGGUAUGGCUGGGAAUUGUAUUUAUAAAUUUAUUUUAUUAUGGUUUCCUUUUGUUAUCCAUUCAUGUAUUAGAUGGGUGUAUGAAUGAAUGGCUUGUAUGCAGGCAGCAAGCUGCUCCCUCUGUCACGUGUCUACACUGGGUGGAGAGUUGCAUUGUGGGAAGAUAUUGACAUAACUUGCAUUGACACAUGCAGAGCCUGAUGUUACUGGGACAGAGUUCAGUUUGUUUUACAUUCUCGCGCAGUAGAGUGAUAUUUAUAUUUGUACAGGAUUUUAUUCCUUUAGAAGUACAGUAUUAUUAGGCAAGCAUUAUAAGGUACAUGUAAACUAUAAACCGGUUUCAAAACCUCACGUGAAAUAAAUAAAGCUGUGCGAAAUUGCAGGUGUUCACAGCACUCAACAUUAGGGCAUGCCAGAAAAUGUUCCCUAAAGAGGGGACAAUUUGUUCCUUGGAACAAAACAAUGUCAAUGUGGCUUUCUGGGGGAAGAACAAAAAAUAUCCCAGGUCUCUUCAAUGGGGGCCAUUACUACACCGGUACCUGAGAAGAUAAGACAUUGGUUAUCAGGAUUUGAUUGUAACUUACUUGGGUGCUCUUUAAGAGAAACCAUCAUUCUAGGUAAAGCACAACACUGGGUUAAAUCAGUGGUUCAGGGAUGUCAAAAAUACAGGACAUAAUUUAUUUUUAUAUAUUUUUCUCUUUAAUCUGUGCAAUGAGGCUUUUCCCAGUUUACAUCAGGAUUAACAUUCAUAAAGGCAGCACCCCCUCCCCCUCCAUAUUGAUUACCUUUACUCCUACAACUCUGGCCAUCUCCACUCACAGCUCCAUGAUGUUAAUUGUAUGUGUUGUAUAAAAUUACUGCACUUGCCAGAUGCUAAUGUGUGCAAGGAAGAGCAGGGAUAUGAUUUGGAGGCUGGAACAAGGAGGGGGGGGGGGGAUCUCAGUAGAAGCUGCAAUAUUGGGUUGUGGGAAAAACGUUGAACUGAGUUGACAACUGACCUAACUGUAUUGCUCUGUCCGUUGUACUUUUUAUUAGUUGUUUGAGUUCAUAAGACUAAACACAGCCCUAAACAGCAAACUUCUAAAGUACUAACUUAACUAAUAGUCACACCAUACAGCUUAUGCAGUGUGUUGCUCUGUAUACACCUAUCUUACUACACAGAACUUUUCAAAAUGCUACUUACAAAUAUAUGGCAAAUAACACCUGUUUCUUAUCCGCAGUACGUCGCGUAUCCAGUUGGUGCCAACAAGUGCCGAGGACGGAUUUAAAUGUCAGUUUGUGUUUAAGGAGAUUGAGAAGAAGCUUGAAGAGGUAACGGAGUGCUAGAAUAGUCCCAUUUCUCAUGUAUAAUGUUUUAGAAGUGCUCAGUUAAGGUGUAAUCUGUAACACUGUAGCAAUGAAGUGAUACGAACAGUCAGGGUGAGACCAUGGCAUUAGCCCCAUUAAUGUGCUAGUUACAAACUCGUAUCAAAGAUCGCAGUCCUAAUCACUAGGCAAUCCACUGAUAAGCUGUACAAGGUCUUCGUUCUGAUCAUAGUCCGGUUUCCUCUCGUGCCCUGGAAUAAACUGUUACAAACUGAUUAUACACUGCACAUAUAGGUGAAGGUUAUUUGAAAUCUCUAUACCUGAAUCCAGCAAGUAUAUUAAAACAUUGGCAUUACUUAUGACGUCUGUAUAUCCCUCUCCUCCAUUCAUAUAACAUCAGGCUAAGGAGGCCCGACACCUUUUCUUUAGGAUGGAAAAUUAAAGGGAAAGUCUGUCAAAUGCAUACUGUUUUCAAUGUGCUUGACAGUAAAAAUAUAUACAAUUACAUUUCAACAUUAUUUUCCUAAAAUCCUGCCUCUUCUGUAAGUUCUGCAGCUAAGUUGAUCGAUUCCCUUUUUUUUUUUUUUUUGUUGUGCACAAUAUUAACAAAUAACCUUGGUGCGCCACAACAGCGACAUCAGGGUGAAUUGGUGAACAUUUGCAAUACAAGUUGUGGCAUUCGCUAGACAGGCACAUUUUUAUGUUAGAGAGGUCAGUAUUACAAUAGUUUAGGUUCUCGUUUAAGUGGGUUAGCGAGGUGCACAUGUCAGGAAAGGGUAAACAGAGGAGUGACAUAGAGACGAAGCAUGACAUGUGCAAUCAUUGUAUGAACACGGCUUUACAACAUAGUAUGUGCUAGGUUGAUUCUAUCCUAUCUCUUGUCUGGCUAGGCAGGGAAUAAGUGGAUGCAAAUUACGCUAGACUUAAACCAGAAAUAAGCCUACAGGAAGCGUAUAACAGGCAUUUGUGAAAAUACUGGUGGUUGUGUAUAUGCUUGCCGCUUCGUGUAGUAGGAUGACCCCCAGGACCCGCUUGCCUUUCAGCAGGCGUAUAGAGUGACUCUCUGGGUUGCUCUCCUUCAGGAGAUUCAUUUGGUGUCGCUUCAAUAAAAGCCUCCAAUUUGGCCCAGAAAUCAGCAAAGGUCGCAUCCAGUCGCUCCAGCACAUAUUCAGCCGCACCUCCUCGUGUCUCCAUGGGCUGAUUCAGACCCGGCUGGUGGAGCAGAGACCUGGCCGCCAUCUUAGGUGAGUCAGCCGCUAUCAGGCGUCGUGGUAUGAUAGCUGUGUAGGGUCGACAGAGGUGCCAGCCAGUGGAUACCGGGAUAACCCCCACCGGUCCGGGGGGGGAGAAGAUAGCUUUGUUCACUGGGACCACAUAGUAAAUGAAAGAGCUCGGGCUUGUGUAGGCUGCUGGCCACUACCAGGAUGUACUGGGUCCAGACAGGCUCACAACAACUAUCCUCCGGUGCACCGAAGACCCAUUGGCAAUAUGAGUACUUAUUGUGGUCUGAUUGAUGGGUGGCCCGGGUGUAAAUCUUGAUUUAUUGGGGCCAGAUGCAGGAGCUCUUGCAGAGCAUGUCUGGCUUCCUUGGCAGUCAAGCUCCGCCCCCAAGUGCACACAUUUUAAAGGAAUCUUCCAGUGAAAUUUUAAUUUCUUCUUCUUUCUUUAAAUCACUUAUAGACUGCUUUGCACUUACAGGCAACUAACUGAGCAAGAGAUCAGAACUUCUAAAGUAAACACACUUUCCUAAGCUUUGAAAAUGAAACCCAAGUGUGUAGUGUGGCUUUGGCCAACACUUUGGAAACAAGUGCUUUAAUUUUUGCACUACAGCGAAUUGAGUGAUCCAUAAGAACCAAAACCACUUUAGCUUGGUUGUUUCGGUGGAGUGUCUCUUUAAUGUUUCUUAUCACAAAUGAUUUCUUGUGAUAUUCUGCUACAAUUAAUUUGUGUAGGUCAGUGGUGUAAUGUAGUGAGGACCCUGGUGCAAGAUAUAAUUUAGGCUCUCCCCUCUAGCACAAGUAUAGCCAAAAUAAAUAUCCCCAUCUGUAGUACAACUCACACAAUGCUAUGCCAGCUGGGGGUAUACUAUUUGCCCAUUCUUGCAGUGUUUGUAUGUAAUCAUGUUUUUGUAUAGAGUAAGUGUGUGCGUAUGUAGGGUUGCAUUUGUAUGUACUGUUGCCAUUACAAUGCAGUAGUGUACUUCUAUGUAAUGUGUGCAUUUAAAUGCAGGGGUGCAUUUGUUGUGUAGUGUUGGGUUUGAGUAAAGGGGCGUUCGUAUAUUGUAGUGGAGCUUCAAUAUUCCAGUUAAGUAUCUCUGCUUAAAGGGACACUAUAGUCACCUGAACAACUUCAGCUUAAUAAGGUUGUUCAGGUGAGAACUAUAGCUCCCUGCAGCCUUUCUCAUGUAAACACUGUAUUUUCAUAGAAAAUACAGUGUUUACAUUGGAAGCUAGGAACACCUCCAAUUGCAGUCACUUAGACUGCCAUCAGAGGGACUUCAUAGUUCAUGAAUGCCUAAUUCGCAUUUAUCAUGUUUGACGUCUUCACGCUUGGGUGAAGACCUCAAACGUGCUAUCAGCAGACAGGAGAUAGGAGGCACUGUGAACGCGCCUCCUAUGCCCUGUAGUAACCCAGGAGCCUGUCAGUGAUGAGAGCAGACAGUGUGGGAGAUAAGAUCUCCUGCACACAGUGUAGGCUGGAGCUGACGGGCAGGAGGAUGCAGAGAUCUGACUUCAAACAGUAAGUACACUUAUUUUUCACAUUUUAGAGUGAGAGGUGGAGAUAGAGCUGGAAAGAAAUGGAUAGUGUGUAUGUUUAACCAUAUUUAUUUAAAAUCUGUGUGUUUUUAUACAAACCCUAUAGAGAUUUCUCUAUUAUUACUGUUUGCAUACUAACUUUGGGCUGGAGGGUUGCCGUAGGAGGGGGGCGGGCAUAGACAGAAAGAUGAGCUCUUGCGGUAGAGCGCUGAGUUCAUUCAUAGGGCGGCAUUUGAUGCCGCUCUAUGAAGAACACGAUUGGUGCCGCGCAAAGUCGCGCAUGCCCACCAGAUUGCUAGGACUUCUUCUCUACGAAGCGUCUGAACCCUGCCACUUUGUCAUUUUGACGAAAAAGGGGACGCGGCCUGACAGGGAUCUCUGUGCUGGAAUGGAGGUAAGUGUGGUGUUUUUUUUCUUCUAUGAUAAAGACUUGGAUUGAUUUAUUUUUUUUUUUUAUUAUUUUUUUUUUUUUAUUUUUUUAAAUGGGAAGUUCAUAUAAAAGCAAGAAAGACGGCUAGGGGACCUGUCUGUCUUGCUUUUAUAUGUUGACUAUAGUGAUCCUUUAAUUCCCUUUGUAGCUGGAAGAAAUGCUGUUUAGUAAAUAUAGCUCUUUCCCCCAGUAACUAGACAACCCAAAGUUCUGGGAGUACAACUGAUUUUUAUUGUCACAGUACAGUCUUAUAUACACCUAUUCAACUCAGAGUAAGCUCGCCCUGGUGUUUCUGUGUCUGGAAGACAAGAGUUAGUACUUGCUAAAACAAAUUAUCUCCCGGACACAGAGGACACCGCACAACUCCAUAAAAAUAAGCAGGAACACCAGAACAUUAUAUAUCCCCAGAUAGCUCUGAUCCGAGCACCCAUGUUGGCAAAAUAGUGCCCGGAUCUAUGGAGAAUAGGCAAAUCGCCACCCGGGUAAAAAUUUGACUAGCCACUAACUGGUCCAUGCAGAAGAGUUCCAGAGUAAGUCUCUUGGGUCAGUCAAGUAUUGGGAGCUCGUGCAGACAAUAAAGGGAUCCUUCUGACUCUCAGGGAGCGAUUUCUUGCCUUCAGUCUAUAGUGCCUCUGCCUCAAGUAGCACUGGCGGGUCUGUCAGGAAGUGGGAAAAAUGAAGUAAAAGUUGGCCAGGAAAUGUGAGUAGGCGUGGCUGAGCUGGAGUGCCAUAAGUUUAUUACCAAGUCUCGCUGGAGUCCCGGUCAGUCGGGGGAGAGAGGCACUCUCGAGUGUUUAGCAUGGAGAGGGUAGGAAAGCUCGCUAGGGGUAGUGAAUUAGUCUUUUGAUGAAAAGAUGGGGUAAUAACACAGGGUUUGCCAUAUAUAUUUUUGGCAUAUAAUUCACGGGAGUGUUUGUAAUAUAUUCGUUUUAAAUGCAGAGGUGUUUGUAUGUAGUGAUGGCUUUUAAAUGAGUGUACAUUUGUGUUUUGGUGUUUGAAUGAAGGGAUGUGUUUAUACAUAACUUUGGCAUUUGACUGCAGGAGUGUUUGCAUUUAGUGUUGGCGUUUGAUUGCUGGGAUGCAUACGCAUAUAAACAUACCCUGCUACAUACAUAUUUACACAGAUGCACACUCAUACACUGACACACACGUAUGUCGAAGCUAUAAUAUUUUUAGCCACCUACCUAUUAACAUACCUUUUUUAUGUGCUUGAGCGGGGCUUCCAAGGGUCCUGCUGGAUGAGGUUGAUAGUAGUGUGGAGCUGGGUCUCUUUGCUCUCCUCCUCCUGCAGUUCUUCCUCCAUCUCUGUCCUGCUCUGUGUGUAGCGGCAGCCUGGGAGAAAGGGACAGCCUCCCAUGCUGCCCAUACUACAGGGACCCGGUUGCUCUCUUCAAGGGCUGCAGUGCUCGACUGGCCCCUGUUCAGCAAUACCCAUCGGGUGGCCCUAAGUGUAUGGGUUACCAGCUGUAGUUCUGCCACUGGUGUCGGUGUACCUGAUUUGCAAUUUUAUUAAAGUUUCUAAGAGUAGGGCUACCCCAAGGGAAAACCUUGCUUGGAAAUGGAACCAGAAUGUGCCACAAGAAGAUUAUGGGAAAAGACAGGUAAUCUGAAUAAAGCACCCAGCCCAUGCAGUAGUCCUAUAUCUGUGUAAUGUUAUCAAUACAUUUUAAAGUUACUUUUCUCAUUAGACUAGGAGUGAAAAAUGUAUUCGUCUUGAAUGGUAGAUCCAGUUUGCUUUGUUGGCAUAACUCUGUCCUUUUUACAAUACAGUAUAUAUACAUCGUUAUAUUAUUGCGCUUAACUUCUUGUUUGGUUUGACUACUGAAGGAAGGAGAUCAAUUCGUAAAGAAGAUCGGUGGUAUAUUUUCUUUCAAAGUGAAAGACGGGCCUGGGGGCAAAGAAGGGACCUGGGUGGUUGAUGUGAAGAAUGGCAAAGGAUCUGUGUCCACUAGCUCAGGUGGGUUCCAAAACAUACAUGUGUCAUGAACUAGAACAUACAAGGAUACAGCUGAUUGUUAAAGGGCUUGGGGUUCUGGUUGUUGAAUGAGAAUGUUUUAUGUCUUGCAUUGUAAGCUUGCUUGAUCAGGGCUUUCAUUAACAAUUGUGUAUGGUCAUUUUUAUAUGCCAAUUACCUGUCAAAUAUCAGCAUUCUAGAACUGUAAAGCAUUGCAGAAUAUUUUGGCACUAUAUACCUAAUAACCCAUAGUAAUGUCCACCUCUUUCAGAUAAGAAGGCAGAUUGUACCAUCACUAUGUCAGACGCUGAUUUAUUGGCCUUGAUGACUGGGAAACUCAACCCUCAGACGGUGAGCAUUCAAAAUGUGUUGCAUGAAUGAAAAGCUCAGAACAGGAUUUGAAAAUAACAGAUCUCAGAUUGGCUAGUAGAAAUUUUCUGUACAUUUUGUCAUUUUUUGAGUUGUAGGGAAUUCGAAGUGAAAUUAAAAUUCUAGAUCAAUACACCCACAUUAGAAAUAUUCUCAAAUUAACUGUUUUAAGUUUGCAUACCUCCCAACUUUGAGAGGUAUGAUUUGUGUAACAAAGGGGUGAGAAUGGAUUACCAGCCUGGAGUGAGUGCACCCAAGACUCAUUAACGGCCACUCUGGCCAGCACACUUGGCGUUAUUGAAGUUCUGUCUGUCUAUGGGGUCAGAGCUCCAAAGGAGGUUGAGCACUUUCUAUUAAUGAAUCAAUUGUCUCUGAAGUUUUAAGUCAUGGAAUAAACUUUCCAUUCUAAACCCUGAAUAGUCGAAGUGACUUAUAUUUUGUCAACAUAGACAAACUCAAUAUGUCAAAAAUAAAUAAAUCCCAUUUGAUUGCUUCCUCCUUUAGUUAUUGUAGCACUUUUGGGGGCCCAUUUUAAAAUCUCCUCCUCCAUUGUCCUGGAAUACCAUUUAACACUAUAAUAGAAGCAUUGUCUUUGUCCUCUGCAAGGGAUUCUGAUGCGUCUCUGCUUUCUGAAUGCAGUAGCUGCUGCACACUAUAGAAACAAAGAAUGUACUGAACUUAGUUUUUGAGAUGUGGCAUGCCAUUCCAUUAUUUGGGAAUGUGUCUUUAAUAUACCAUUGUCUUUAAUAUUCUUUCUCUUCCAGGCAUUUUUUCAGGGAAAGCUGAAAAUCGCUGGAAACAUGGGAAUGGCCAUGAAAUUACAGAGUUUGCAGCUGCAACCUGUGAAGGCGAAGCUGUGAAGAGAUCCAUGGUUGGACCCCUUUUUGAUUGCAGCCGGGAUUGACUUAUGUAGUGGAUCAUAAUUCUAUCUUCCUCCUCCAUUUCCAGACAGGCAUUGUGAAGCAGCAUCGGUCCGGGAGAAGUGGGAUGCAUGUGUACUGGAUGAACACACUUGUCUCUCUCUCUCUCCCUCCCUCUCUUUGGGUAUCUUCCUGUUUGUAAAGCAUGAGUAUUCUCUAAUUAUACAGGAUUGCUUGUGCAUCGUACUGGGAACAUGAAUGUCCUUUUUUUGUACACACUUCUUGAAUACAUGCAUUGACCCGUGCUCUUGCAUGAUCUCUUUGCAUUUCCCGUAUGCCUGUAUAUGUGGAUUACUCUGCCCCACAUCUGCAGAAACACAUGUGAUACAUGCCUGUCUAGCACUUAAAGGGUCUGUAAACUGAUCAUGGGUUCCCAUCUAUGAUCAACCAUUUCACCUCUGUGGACAGUCUCUUUUUGCUUCAAGUAACUCUCUGGUCCUUUUUUCUAAUAGAGUAUUAAUCUAAUUUCAAAAGACAAAAAAAUUACUUAAUUUGAAUAACUGUACCAGCUAAAUACUGAUUGCCCUGGUUAAACAGAGCAAACUGUUCCUCGGGAAGAGACUACCAGAUCUACCCUUUUUGGGGGGCUUUAUAGAAUACUUGACUAAUUUGUUAAUAGUAUGAAAAUAUUAACUUUAAUAAAAUCUCAGAUUUCCAUGUGUU